rnacentral:tmRNA from 1 species
GGGGUCGUUAUUGGAAUCGACAAAAAUAGUAAGAAUAUAAAUUGCAAGCCGUAAGUCGUGCGUUAAAGACACAAAAUAAUAACUGGAAACAGUAAAACAAACUACGCUCCAGUUUAUGCCUAACUUGGUAUAAACAGCGUGUUCUACAAUUGCUUUGCUUACGGGUAAUUGCUAGGACUCAUUUUAGUAAGCUAUGCUACUAUAUUGUUUAGGUAUAGUAGGAGAAUUUUUACUAAACUAGUUAACUUAAACAUUGUUAGUUUUGUUUAUGUUAAUGAAAUUUAAUAACUAACUAAGCUUGUAGAAGUUUAUAUUACUUUAUUUUUGGACAGGGGUUCAACUCCCCUCGACUCCACCA